AUUUAAUUUACCUUCUAAAGUCUAAAAGAUAUUGAUUUCAUGUAUCAUUGGUUCCUACGCUACUUAGAAAAUAAGGUGAAAAAUCGAACUCAUAUUAAGGCAUACUAAGUGUAGAAGACGUCAACUUUUUGCUCUUUGUAUUUUGAUCAAAAUAUUCAACGAGAUUGAGUCAUGCAUUGAGGAAUGAUGAUGGAGGUCUUAUUGAUCUCCAAGGGAGACUAUCGAUUUUUACCUAUCCUAGACUACCCUUUGGCAUUCAAUGUCUUAAUAGCAAAUUAAUGAUAAAUGAGGAAUUCAGAGCAUCUUCAAUAAGUGUGCUUUUGAAUUGGAGAAAGUAACCCCUUUUAGGGUGUAAGUUGUUAUAAUUACAUUUCCAAUAUAUAUUGAACUAUAUGCUUAGUUAGCAACAUUUACAAUUUCUCAUAGCACAUGUAGGGAGCUUGAUAAACAUAUGAGAAUGUUGUUUGCCCAAAUGUCUGACGCACAAUUUGAUUAUUUACAGAAAGAAUAUUUUCAUGUUGGUUGAGGGAAUACGUAUGUGAUUUUGUCUCAAUUACCCCCAAAAAGUAUUUUGAAAAAUGAGUUUAAUACAUAUUAUUUCUUUUGUUUAGGUUUUGGAAAAUCAUAAUAAAGUUUAUAAUUGCAUAAAGGAUUUGGCUAUAGGACCCUCUCAUAGACUGAAUUGGUAUAAUGAAUAUUUUGUCAAUAGUUUUAAGUUUCACACUUUAGAUUAUGAGUCCCACAAAACAACAAUGAAUAGUGGUAUGUUAGUGCUAGGAAGUCAUUAUAAUGAGUAUGAACGUGACUACUAUGGUAAGUUAUCUGAAAUACUAGGAGUUUGGUUAUUUAGGAGACAUUGAAAAAAAAAAGGUAACCUUAUUCAAGUGUGAUUGGUUUGACAUCAAUGGUGGAUUUAGAAUCCAUCGACGAUUCGGUCUUGUCCAACUUAAUCAUAAGAAGAAAUUACAAACAAAUGUUGUGCUUAUACUUUCUCAACAAGUAUAUUCACAUAUUUUCCAACGAAGGAUAGAGAUAGACUUAAUAUGUUGGGGGUUGUGAAAACAAAAGCAAGAAAUGUUCCUAACAUACUAGGAAUCAUAUCGAAGAAUGAAAAGUGUAAUGUAUGGGUGAAACUUGCAUUCCAAGAUGAUCAACCACCACUUACCCAGCAACCUGUUCGAAUAACUUCAAAGUUCAAUUUCCAAAUUUAGUUUCUACUAAUGUUGGGGAUGAAUCUAAGAUGUUCAAUAUAGAUCCAAAAGGUUUAAUGUAGAAGAAAAUACAGAGCCAGACGAUGUUGACAGUGGUGAUGGCUUCACAACAAGUAUUCAUUACUCCCUCGAUAUCGUGUACUGUAAGUGCCAAUUUGAAGGCUUACUUGGGCGGACAUUAUCCUAUGUUUAGUUUGGUACCAGCUGACACAAAAAAGUUCUUGUGGGAAAGAUUUUAGACAAGCCACUUGCUGCUUCACAAUUGUUCGAACGUGUACACUAUCAAGAGAAGGGAGAAGGAGACUUUGCACACAACAAAUCACGGAUUGUAUGUGUAACGACCCAAAUAUUUUUGUUUUUUUUUAUUCUAUUUUAUUUGAGUUUAGAUCGCAACCAAAAUUUUCUUAUUAAAGGAAAGGAAUUUAAAACCG